rnacentral:rRNA from 1 species
GCAGUCGUGGGGCAGCACAGGUAGCAAUACUGGGUGGCGACCGGCAAACGGGUGCGGAACACGUACGCAACCUUCCUUUAACUGGAGAAUAGCCCGGGGAAACCCGGAUUAAUACUCCGUAACAUUAUGAAGUGGCAUCACUUUAUAAUUAUAGCUCCGGCGGUUGAAGAUGGGCGUGCGUCUGAUUAGGUAGUUGGCGGGGUAACGGCCCACCAAGCCUACGAUCAGUAACUGGUGUGAGAGCACGACCAGUCACACGGGCACUGAGACACGGGCCCGACUCCUACGGGAGGCAGCAGUAAGGAAUAUUGGUCAAUGGACGCAAGUCUGAACCAGCCAUGCCGCGUGGAGGAUGAAGGUCCUCUGGAUUGUAAACUUCUUUUAUUUGGGAAGAAACCACCGAUUUCUAUUGGUGUUGACGGCACCAGAUGAAUAAGCACCGGCUAACUCCGUGCCAGCAGCCGCGGUAAUACGGAGGGUGCAAGCGUUAUCCGGAUUCACUGGGUUUAAAGGGUGCGUAGGCGGGUUGGUAAGUCCGUGGUGAAAUCCCCGAGCUUAACUUGGGAACUGCCAUUGAUACUAUUAAUCUUGAAUAUCGUGGAGGUUAGUGGAAUAUGUCAUGUAGCGGUGAAAUGCUUAGAUAUGACAUAGAACACCAAUUGCGAAGGCAACUGA